rnacentral:lncRNA from 1 species
GAAUCCUGAAGGUGGUCGACCACCGUAGAAACUUGGAUGGAGUCUAAUUACUAUAGAAAUCUCGUUGUCGAAGAAGCUUGGAUAUUGGCAAAGUCCAGAAGAAGUUCAGAGAAUAGUUGAUUACUGUAGAAGGUCGGUUGGUGGUGAGGCCCAGAGAGCUUUUGAGGUGGCCCGGUAGACGAAUGCAGAAGUUCACUAUUAGAGAAGUCCGGACGGUCGAGGGGGUUUGGAGAGAUGCCACACAC